GCGUGUGUGAAGAAGGCCUGCGGGUUGUAAAGCACUUUCAGUAGGGAAGAUUAUGACGGUACCUACAGAAGAAGCACCGGCUAACUCUGUGCCAGCAGCCGCGGUAAUACAGAGGGUGCAAGCGUUAAUCGGAAUUACUGGGCGUAAAGCGCGCGUAGGCGGUUUGUUAAGUCGGAUGUGAAAUCCCCGGGCUCAACCUGGGAAUUGCAUUCGAUACUGGCAGGCUAGAGUAUGGUAGAGGGUAGCGGAAUUCCAGGUGUAGCGGCGAAAUGCGU
rnacentral:rRNA from 1 species